rnacentral:rRNA from 1 species
GACGAACGCUGGCGGCGUGCUUAACACAUGCAAGUCGAACGGAAAGGCCCUGCUUUUGUGGGGUGCUCGAGUGGCGAACGGGUGAGUAACACGUGAGUAACCUGCCCUUGACUUUGGGAUAACUUCAGGAAACUGGGGCUAAUACCGGAUAUGAGCUCCUGCUGCAUGGUGGGGGUUGGAAAGUUUCGGCGGUUGGGGAUGGACUCGCGGCUUAUCAGCUUGUUGGUGGGGUAGUGGCUUACCAAGGCUUUGACGGGUAGCCGGCCUGAGAGGGUGACCGGCCACAUUGGGACUGAGAUACGGCCCAGAAUCCUACGGGAGGCAGCAGUGGGGAAUAUUGCACAAUGGGCGGAAGCCUGAUGCAGCAACGCCGCGUGCGGGAUGACGGCCUUCGGGUUGUAAACCGCUUUCGCAUGUGACGAAGCGUGAGUGACGGUAAUGGGUAAAGAAGCACCGGCUAACUACGUG